AUUGAACGCUGGCGGCAGGCCUAACACAUGCAAGUCGAGCGGAUGAAGGGAGCUUGCUCCUGGAUUCAGCGGCGGACGGGUGAGUAAUGCCUAGGAAUCUGCCUGGUAGUGGGGGAUAACGUCCUGAAACGGGCGCUAAUACCGCAUACGUCCUGAUGGAGCAAGUGGGGGAUCUUCGGACCUCACGCUAUCAGAUGAGCCUAGGUCGGAGUAGCUAGUUGGUGGGGUAAAGGCCUACCAAGGCGACGAUCCGUAACUGGACUGAGAGGAUGAUCAGUCACACUGGAACUGAGACACGGUCCAGACUCCUAAGGGAGGCAGCAGUGGGGAAUAUUGGGCAAUGGGCGAAAGCAUGAUCCAGCCAUGCCGAGUGUGUGAAGAAGGUCUUCGGAGUGUAAAGAACUUUAAGGGGGGAGGAAGGGCAGUAAGUUAAUACCUUGCUGUUUUGACGGUACCAACAGAAUAAGCACCGGCUAACUUCGUG
rnacentral:rRNA from 1 species